CUCCCCCAGCUCUUGGUACAUUGUUCGGCACACGCUCUUGGAUCACUAGUGUGAACAUAAACAGCAAGACUACAUGAAGAGGGGAGGAGAUGGGUAGCAAUGCAGAGGAAAGAUGCCUUGGCACAAAUUCAUCCAGACCAUGCUCUGAACUAGGCACCCUCUAUCUACUGGAGCAACAAACCCAAAUUCCUUGUCAACCUCAUACGAAUAAAUAAGCAGACUCAAA